GACAGAGGGUGCAAACGUUGUUCGGAAUUACUGGGCGUAAAGCGUGCGCAGGCGGCCUUGCAAGUCGGGCGUGAAAUCCCACGGCUCAACCGUGGAAGUGCACUCGAAACUGCUUGGCUAGAGUCUUGGAGAGGAAGGCGGAAUGCUUGGUGUAGCGGUGAAAUGGCGUAGAGAUCGGGAGGAACACCAGAGGCGAAGGCGGCGACCUGGACAGGUACUGACACUCAACUACGAAAGCGUGGGGAGCAAACAGG
rnacentral:rRNA from 1 species